GUCAGGUCUGCACUGACCUUCUGCAAAGCGGUCUGCUGGUGUAAGCUGACAACUAAGGUGUGCUGAUUCUAACCUCCUCCUUACCUAGGCAGAGAAAACUUUCACUCAUCCAUGAGAAUGUUCUUUACAUUUUUCUGGGGAUCAGCAAAGUGACAGGUGGCUUGCAAAGCCCAACAUGAUCAUUAUUUUUCUAAAUCAUCAUUGUUCAAGAUCUAGGUUUUUUUUCCCCCUGAUAUUCACAUAGAUUCUUGUUUAGCCAAACCUCCCACGUCCAAAAGCUAAUAAAAGUGUCAGGCAGACUGUUACAAAGAACUAUUGUUAUUUACAAGUCUACAUUUUCUGUGAAAUCAAAACAUAUUAAAGCGAAUUUUCGGUGUUGACAUUGUUAUUCUAAACUCGUGAUAGUCUUGCCAAACCCUCUGGUGAAAAGAAGUUACGGAAAUUAUUCCCUUGUCUUUUCUUGGGAUCACACUUAACACCUUGAUUAACAGGUGUCUUUCAAUCUGUAAAGAUUUUCAGGGAAGGCAUACCUUACUAUGAUAACUAGCUUGUGAGUUCACAGGUAAGAUAUAUUCUAGAUUAAGAAAUUAUUCCAGAUGUUCACCUGUGUUCUCCUGGGGUUGUCAUCUAAGUGCUCACCACCUCUCAGUACCAGCAUGCUUUGGUAGCACAGCAGCUAGACCCCGCCCCAUCAACUUCUCUCUGUUAUUGUUGUCUGUAUCAGUGCUUGCUCUUGGCUAACAUGUUGUUCUUUUCCCCUCAGCUUAAUUAAAAACAUAUAAGAUCUCUAA
rnacentral:lncRNA from 1 species